UUAAUAAAAAUUUAUUGUAACCUUGUGUAGAGGGCUUAAUCAGCCUUGCAAGGGUGCUUUGAAACUGUUUAGUAUUCAAUAGUUGGGAUACUUAUUAUUGGGUGCUAUCAUUGAACUGAAAGGGGAUAUGAGAAGAGUUAGGAAUAACUCAACAAAGAAGAAGUAGCGCAAGUACAAUAUAAACUAUAAGGUGAGCUUAGCUGGUUCUCUCCGCAAUAGACGCCUCGGUGAGGAAUAACCCAACAGACCACGAACUUGCAAUCUGUGAGUAAAUAUUGGGAACGCUAAAAUAAGGAGAGUUGGUCUACAACGUAAAUAGAAAUAUUUACGGAACCAGACAGCGGCACGAGUAGCCUAAGACCACAGUUUAGAUUUAUUCUAUUUGGAGGAAAAAGUCAAAUAAAAACAUAAUCUGAAUGAUAGGUGAAAGUUGAGAGUAGAUAAAAUCUCUUUAAUGCUUGAGGACUUUUAGUCCUACGGUAAGAACUUCGCAUCGACGGGUGUUGGGGUCAGACUUAUCGUCAUUGUGACCGAAUAAUAACAGUAUUGUAUGAGUACGGGGAUAAAGAAGCCGACAAUAAGUUUUUAU
rnacentral:sRNA from 1 species